UCAUGAUGUAAAAUAUCCAAA
ensembl:piRNA 21ur-6293 ncRNA